rnacentral:rRNA from 1 species
GUAGGGGAGCAAGCGUUAUCCGGAUUUACUGGGCGUAAAGCGUGCGUAGGUGGGUGUUUUAAGUUAGAUGUUAAAUCUGCAGGGCUUAACUUGCAAAACUGCAUCUAAUACUGGGGCACUAGAGUAAAGGAGAGGUAAGCGGAAUUUCCGGUGUAGCAGUGAAAUGCGUAGAUAUCGGAAGGAACACCAAUGGCGAAGGCAGCUUACUGGCCUUUUACUGACACUGAGGUACGAAAGCGUGGGGAGCGAACAGGAUUAGAUACCCUGGUAGUCCACGCCGUAAACGAUGGAUGCUAGAUGUUGGGGGUUUCGACCCCUUCAGUAUCGUAGCUAACGCGUUAAGCAUCCCGCCUGGGGAGUACGGUCGCAAAGAUUAA